rnacentral:rRNA from 1 species
GACAGAGGGGGCAAGCGUUGCUCGGAAUUACUGGGCGUAAAGGGCGCGUAGGCGGGUUCGCAAGUCUGUGGUGAAAUCCUCCGGCUCAACCGGAGAACUGCCUCGGAUACUGCGGGUCUCGAGGGUGAUAGGGGUAUGCGGAACUAUCGGUGGAGCGGUGAAAUGCGUUGAUAUCGAUAGGAACUCCGGUGGCGAAGGCGGCAUACUGGAUCACUUCUGACGCUGAGGCGCGAAAGCCAGGGGAGCAAACGGG